rnacentral:lncRNA from 1 species
GCAGGAGCAUUAAUCACCUGCUUCGACAUUGAUUCCCAAGUGUAUGAGUCACUGCUCUGAUUUUAGAUCACAUUUGUCCUCAUCACUCGGCAUAUCCACAUUGAUAUAGACACUGUUUUAUUGUAGUAAUAGACAUGUGAAGAAUAAUAUCACAUAUGAAAUUGGAAGUGUUUGUUGCGUGAAGACUAUACUUCUGUUUUCUACAGUGUAAUUCUGUCAUGUUCCUGUCCCAAUACACAAAGUAGAAAACAUCAAAGCCUAUGCUAAUUCAGGCAGGAGGAU